rnacentral:tRNA from 1 species
AAAGAAUUAGUUAAAUUAUAACGUUGGACUGUCAGAUCAAAAUCACCAGUUAAAAUCUGGUAUUCUUUA